CUUGUUCCCGCGGGGCUCCGGGCGGCCGCGACCCUGCCGGAGUCCGGGGGGGACCUCCAGAAACCCGGGGGGUCCCUGACUCUCGUGUGCCGCACGUCUGGAUUUGAUUUGGGGAGCUUUGGAAUCAGUUGGUUCCGCCAGAGCCCCGGGAAGGGACUGGAGUGGGUGGCAGGAAUCAGCCGGAAAAGCGGCAACACCUUCUACGCGCCGUCGGUCAAGGGCCGGUUCUCGAUGGCGAGUGACAACGGGCAGAGCUCGGUGACGCUGACCAUGACCAACCUCAAGGACGACGAUUCCGGCUCCUAUUUCUGUGCCAAACAUUACAGCAGUGCUUUUUGGGACUGGGACAUUUGG